UACGUAGGGUGCACGCGUUGUCCGGAAUUAUUGGGCGUAAAGGGCUCGUAGGCGGUCCAUCGCGUCGGGAGUGAAAAGCUGGGGCUUAACCCCAGUCCUGCUUCCGAUACGGGUGGACUAGAGGUAGGUAGGGGAGAACGGAAUUCCUGGUGUAGCGGUGAAAUGCGCAGAUAUCAGGAGGAACACCGGUGGCGAAGGCGGUUCUCUGGGCCUGUACUGACGCUGAGGAACGAAAGCGUGGGGAGCGAACAGG
rnacentral:rRNA from 1 species